rnacentral:rRNA from 1 species
AAUAUUGCACAAUGGGCGAAAGCCUGAUGCAGCGACGCCGCGUGAGGGAUGACGGCCUUCGGGUUGUAAACCUCUUUCAGCAGGGACGAAGCGCAAGUGACGGUACCUGCAGAAGAAGCACCGGCUAACUACGUGCCAGCAGCCGCGGUAAUACGUAGGGUGCAAGCGUUGUCCGGAAUUACUGGGCGUAAAGAGUUCGUAGGCGGUUUGUCGCGUCGUUUGUGAAAACCAGCAGCUCAACUGCUGGCUUGCAGGCGAUACGGGCAGACUUGAGUACUGCAGGGGAGACUGGAAUUCCUGGUGUAGCGGUGAAAUGCGCAGAUAUCAGGAGGAACACCGGUGGCGAAGGCGGGUCUCUGGGCAGUAACUGACGCUGAGGAACGAAAGCGUGGGUAGCGAACAGGAUUAGAUACCCUGGUAGUCCACGCCGUAAACGGUGGGCGCUAGGUGUGGGUUCCUUCCACGGAAUCCGUGCCGUAGCUAACGCAUUAAGCGCCCCG